rnacentral:tRNA from 1 species
GGUGAGGUGUCCGAGUGGCUGAAGGAGCACGCCUGGAAAGUGUGUAUACGGCAACGUAUCGGGAGCGUUCGAAUCCCCCCCUCACCGCCA